AGUGCAGUACUUUUCCAUGUUCUCAUGCAACGAAAGAGCUGCUACGAUCAAUUGGCUGAGUGUUUGAAAUGCUAUGGGGUUCUUCCACUCAUGAAAGAAACCCCUACCAUCAGGAUCCUUUUGGAUAUGCAGAAAGAACCGAGUGAUGUUACAGCAGAUGUUCUAGCUGCAAUCCUUAAACCAGCUAUUCUGUCCUGGGGAGCAACAGAAGACCAAGAGAGGAGUUAAUGGUGGUUAAAUUCAAAGAAUUUCUCCAUUAUGUCCAAGAGAAUGAGUUGGAAGAACAUCUCAAUUCCAGAAACCUCACUGAAGCAGAAAAAGUGUUCAUUCAGACUCUGAAUCCUGGACACAUCCUGGCCUUUGCAACUGGCAGUGGCAAAGUUCCUGCUGUUGGAUUUUAUCUCAGUCCAAAGCUGACUUUUGUCCAUGAUGACACAAAACACCUUCCCAUUGCUCACGCUCUAAUGAGAUUCAAAUCUUUGUUAACACAAAGAUGCUGCAGAUGAUGAUGAAUUUGGGUACAACUUCUUAGUGGCUCUCAAGAAUGGAGCAAUUUUAGUGCCGUAUAAAACAUCUAAGCACAAGCUUAGACACCAUUACUGAGGUCAUUUAAAAUGCCCUGUGAGAAAACGCACAUGCUGGGUAUGCAAGACAGCACACAAAUGUUUGAGUUCAUGCAAUGUUG